UGCCUGAAUGUCUUUAAGAGGUGUGAUGAAAAUUAUGAUGAAUGCCACUGCUGUAUGCCGUCCAACAGAAAGGCGGCUUGUGGAAACACGACACCGUGUCCUCCUCCACCGUGUUUGUCAGAUCUACACUGUAUGACUUCUGGCUCUGCCCCAAAGUCACAAUCCCAUGAAAGCCAGGCCUGACUGCCUUCUGCACAGGGCCGAUAGCAACACAGAGGGGAC
rnacentral:lncRNA from 1 species